AUACCAACCAAUAGAUCAGCAGCAAACAACUCAAAUUCUGCCCAGAAGUUCUCUCCCCUUUUCUGAACUUCAGCGAAUGUAGCACAGCAUGAAUCUAUGACUACCUCUGUUCCGACUUUAAAAAGAAAAGAUGGAUCUGCUAACAUUCGGUCACGAAACAUGGAGCAGGAAUUCAUCAAGAAGCCUAACAACCAACCUGACCCCUGCAAGUCCAAGUAGCGAUGAAGAAAAACUUCCCGAAUCCCG
rnacentral:misc_RNA from 1 species